UAGACGAGCCGAGUGCUUAUCUUGAUUCAGAGCAGCGUAUCGUUGCCUCAAAAGUCAUUAAAGAGGUUUAUCCUCCACACAAAGAAGAUUGCUUCUGUCGUUGAGCAUGAUUUCUUAAUGGCGACUUAUCUUGCUUAUUGGGUGAUUUUGUUUGAGGGAACACCAUCUAUCGAAUCUACUGCCAAUGCUCCCCAAUCUUUGUUGACAGGGAUGAACCUUUUCCUAUCCUUGGAUAUAACAUUUAGACGGGACCCUACAAAUUUCAGUUCGCAGAUUGACAAGUUGGAGUCCAUGAAAGACAAGGAGCAAAAAGCUGGUGGGACCUUUUAUUACCUCAACUAAGGCAUACCAGAGUGCUUGUGGUAUAGCUAACCAACUUAUUAGCCUAUGAGAGACAAAUGCAAAUGAGCAAGAUGGGAAGUGGCAAAGUUCUCAGGCGACACAUCAAUGAAUCAAAAAUGAUGCAUCACCAUCUUCAUGCUCUGUAAUCCAUGUGAAUUGAUUUGAUGGAGCAUCUAGUCGAGGUGGCUACUACUUGUACCUGCUAUAGCGAUU